ACUUUUGGCUUAUCGGGUCAACUUGACCAGAAUGCACGAAUGAUCAAGGAGUCGCCCAGGUGUGCACCCCGGUCACAACAGUGAUGCUCAAGGGCUCUCCAAAGGAGGCAGGCUUGUGUGGACCCCAGAGGGACUCCUGAUCAGAAAUUGCAGAUGAAAUUUCUUACGGGUAGAGUUUAAAAUCGCUCAGGAAAAGCACUCAAAAAGAGUUGCAAGAUCAUGGAGUGAAUUCCAAGUGCUUUGUGCCUUGAGAGCACUGAACCGAUACGGUGAUAAGAAUAAUGGUUGGAGACCAGGUGUAAUUCUUCAAGUCUCAAAGGAAAUCACAGAAAAUUUCCAUUUUGGCAGCUGAGAUAAAAAUGAUCAAGGAAGAAGAGGUUUUGUCUGUUUUGUGUUCUAGCCCUUUAGAUAGAGUG
rnacentral:lncRNA from 1 species